CCUAGGGUGGCAGCAGUGGGGAAUAUUGGACAAUGGGCGAAAGCCUGAUCCAGCCAUGCCGCGUGUGUGAAGAAGGCCUUCGGGUUGUAAAGCACUUUCAGUGGGGAAGAAAGCCUUGGGGCUAAUACCCUCGAGGAAGGACAUCACCCACAGAAGAAGCACCGGCUAACUCCGUGCCAGCAGCCGCGGUAAUACGGAGGGUGCGAGCGUUAAUCGGAAUUACUGGGCGUAAAGCGCGCGUAGGCGGUCUGAUAAGCCGGUUGUGAAAGCCCCGGGCUCAACCUGGGAACGGCAUCCGGAACUGUCAGGCUAGAGUGCAGGAGAGGAAGGUAGAAUUCCCGGUGUAGCGGUGAAAUGCGUAGAGAUCGGGAGGAAUACCAGUGGCGAAGGCGGCCUUCUGGACUGACACUGACGCUGAGGUGCGAAAGCGUGGGUAGCAAACAGGAUUAGAUACCGUGUAGUC
rnacentral:rRNA from 1 species